UACGGGGGGGGCAAGCGUUGUUCGGAAUUACUGGGCGUAAAGGGCGCGUAGGCGGCCUGCUAAGUCGGACGUGAAAUCCCCCGGCUCAACCGGGGAACUGCGUCCGAUACUGGUGGGCUCGAAUCCGGGAGAGGGAUGUGGAAUUCCAGGUGUAGCGGUGAAAUGCGUAGAUAUCGGGAGGAACACCAGUGGCGAAGGCGACUUCCUGGCCUGUUCUUGACGCUGAGGCGCGAAAGCUAGGGUAGCAAACGGG
rnacentral:rRNA from 1 species